rnacentral:lncRNA from 1 species
GGGGCCAGUUUAGGAGAUGAGGGGUCAGUUUAGGAGAUGAGGGGUCAGUUUAGGAGAUGAGGGGCCAGUUUAGGAGAUGAGGGGCCAGUUUAGGAGACGAGGGGCCAGUUUAGGAGACGAGGGGUCAGUUUAGGAGACGAGGGGUCCGUUUAGGAGACGAGGGGCCAGUUUAGGAGACGAGGGGCCAGUUUAGGAGACGAGGGGCCAGCUUAGGAGACGAGGGGCCAGUUUAGGAGACGAGGGGCCAGUUUAGGAGACGAGGGGCCAGUUUAGGAGACGAGGGGCCAGUUUAGGAGAUGAGGGGCCAGUUUAGGAGAUGAGGGGCCAGUUUAGGAGAUGAGGGGCGCAGUUUAGGAGAUGAGGGGCCAGUUUAGGAGAUGAGGGGUCAGUUUAGGAGAUGAGGGGCCAGUUUAGGAGAUGAGGGGCCAGUUUAGGAGAUGAGGGGCCAGUUUAGGAGAUGAGGGGCCAGUUUAGGAGAUGAGGGGCCAGUUUAGGAGAUGAGGGGUCAGUUUAGGAGAUGAGGGGUCAGUUUAGGAGAUGAGGGGCCAGUUUAGGAGAUGAGGGGAGAUGAGGGGCCAGUUUAGGAGAUUAGGGGCCAGUUUAAGGAGAUGAGGGGCCAGUUUAGGAGAUGAGGGGGUCAGUUUAGGAGGUCAGGAGGAAUCAAAGAUGGGGUCUCUCUCUCUCUCUCUCUCUCACCUUCUUCCCAUCGUCCGUCUUGGUGAUAACAGGGUUCUCUUCAUUCUCUCUCGCUCCGCCCACUGACGACUCCGUCACAACAUCCCUGCAGGACAGGAAGCGGUUAACGUCAACAGGAAGUGUGAGUUUAGGCGUGUGUCUAUAUUAAAGGUGUGUGUUUA